GUCGGGUUAGCCAAUCAGGUUGUAGGGGCGUGGCAAAUCUAGGAAGCAUAGGGCGGAGCUUCGCGGCAGUGUUUAGGCUGGCACGAGAGUUUUUCUGUUGGUUUGUGUCCAGCUUUCAUGACUCCACAAUGGGAGCUGGUAUCUCUACCUCGAUGGGAGAUGACGACAUACUGGAUUCUCUCCUUCUCCUCCCAUCUCUAUUCUUUCUACCAGUUGCACAGGUUUUCUAAAGAGCAUGAGGUCAGCCUGGACAGAGAGGUGCAGCUGGAGAGAGGAUUCCUUAUAUGGGGAUUCAAGAAGGACCCUACUGAUUUUGAGUGGAGUUUUUGGAAUGAGUGGGCGUGGCAAUCUCUUUUGUGGUCUUUGAUUGGCCACGCUGUGCUGUCCAGAUUGGCAGAUUAUUUUUUGCCUCAGUUUCGACUGGCCGUCUUAACGAUGUAUGGCUUCCUCUCAGCUGGUUGGCUUCUCGGAGUGCGGGGCUUGACUCUCUUGAUGCUGCAUCUGAGCAUCUCAUUGGUGGUUGCUCAGCUACGUAGCCCUAUCCUCUCAUGGUUUUGCUCCCUCCUGCUGCUCUCCACACUCAAUGUCACUGCCCUCCAAGAUUUACAGCGUGGUUGGUACACUUCUGAAGACCAGUACUAUCUCUUGCUCUUUAGUACUGCUGUUUGUAUCUUGCGCUGCAUUAGCUUUAGUCUGGAGCUGUGCUGGCGCCCCCUGCAGGCAGGAGGACCAAACCACUGCUACCAUCUAGAGGAAAAAGGACAGAAGACUCUGAUUUUUCAGUUCUGCAAGCUCACUGCCUACUGUUUCUAUCACCCCCUGUUUUACAACGGACCCAUUGUGACCUACAGAGACUUCAGUGAACAGAUAGAGAAGCCAGUGUGUAAAGUCUCUGUGGUGUAUGUGUUGAGUGGAAUACUGCGUGUGUGUGUCUGGUGGUGUUUAGCCGAAUUCAUGAUCCACUUCAUGUACAUGCACGCCAUCCAGAGCAAUGAAACCUACCUGGAGAUGCUGCCACCCUGGGCGUUGGGUGGUUUGGCUCUUGCAUUGGUCCAGUUUUUUUACAUAAAGUAUCUGGUCUUGUUUGGAGGGGUGUCUCUGCUUGUCAGAUUGGAUGGACUGGAGCCGCCAAAGUUACCACGCUGUGUCAGCAUCAUUUACAGCUUCACUGGGAUGUGGAGACACUUUGAUGUGGGGCUUUACAAAUGGCUCAUCAGGUACAUAUAUGUGCCAAUGGGCGGCUCUCGUCACGGGGUGUUCCGGAAACUCGUCUCCACAGCGCUGGCGUUUGGGUUUGUGUGUUUCUGGCAUGGUUGCCAUGACUACCUGCAGUACUGGGCCGUGCUGAACUGGGUUGGGGUGUUGGUGGAGAACGCUCUCGCACUCCUCUUUUCCUUUCAUCCUCUUCAUCACGUUAUUGUGCGCUGUCUGUCACCUCGGAUGCAGAGGCGUGGCCUAGCGCUUAUGUCUGCCCUCUCCACUGCUUUUCUGAUUCUGUCUAAUCUGUUUUUUCUGGGCGGGAUCCAUGUCGGAAGAAUCUUCUGGAAGAGGGUGUUUGUCGAAGGCUGGUCUUCUGUGGCCGUUCCAGUGGUUGCUUUUCUCUAUUGCUUUGCUCAAGUUGGUAUUGAGUGGGACAUGAGAUGACAGCACUCCUCAGAGCAGAAUCAUGGGAAGGCAAAUUUUCUCAAAGAAAACACUAUGUAGUAAUUUCCAUGUGGAGAAAUGAUUUCAGUGAGGAUGUUUCAGUCAGUGGAUAAUGGCCAUGCUGUCUGCUGAAUACAUCUGAAGUUUAAUUAGGGCUGUUUUUAAAGAACGACCCUUCGAAGGACCUCUGUGAGCAGACAGACGUGUUUGUUCUUCCAAACCCUGCAGUGUGAUAGAACUGCACAGCUCCGUUUGAACUUCACUAUCAGUGUUAAGGACUCCAAAAAUACUCAUUGUUCUCCAAAAUACUAUAACAUCAUUUCUGUUCAAACACAUAUGAGUUUGUGUGUUGGUGCAUAUAUGCUAUGUGUGUGUGUGCGAUUUCACAAAGUCUGUCAUGAACAUGUUCAGUAUAUAUUUCACCCCAAAUUCAAAAAGAAAAAAAAUAUAUAUAUUUUGUAGAAAUAAAAUAUGUGCUUUAAGAUUUUAUAUUCAUGUUUUUCUAUUUUUACAUUAAAUUUAUCAAUUUCAAUUCUCAGUACUCUAAUAAUAAUAAUAUGUUAAAUUAAAUGUAAGAUUUUAUAUGACAACUAUGAAGAAUUUUUUUUUUUUUUUUUUUUGAUUUGGGGAUUAAAUGGUCCUCUUUUAGGCUUUUGUGAAAUAAAUCUGACCAUAGAAAAGUUUCUUUAUCAUGGACUGGUGUCUGGUCUGUAAUCAUGUAGUGGCCGAUUUUGUUGUUGAGGCACGGUACUUUGGUUCUCAUGUCUGAAGAAACUAUGCAAACAUUUGCGAGGAUUCAUUUGCCUCGCUAAAUGCAAAUUUGAACUCACUGACCAAGAGUCAGACAGGUCUGCUACAAAGAGUGAAUCCAUUAGCUCUAUGGGGUAAGAGGCAAGAGAUUAAAUACUCGUGCAGUAGAGGACUACUUUCUUUUUAAUGGUAAUUUUAUUCAAUUUUCCUUUGUAUUUACCAUGCAUGUCUUAACCUUAUUUUAAGUGCAAAUCAAGCCAUGCUGUUGGCGUAUUUGAUCAAAUCAGUCACGAUCAGAUGGUAAUGAAUCUCUGCGAGUAAACCAUGCUAGUUUCUAAAGGCUGCGCAUUUCUUCUUAAACAAUCCUCAUUCUCAUUCUCUCUCACGAUGAAAAAGUGCAUUCUCUGAAUAUUAUGACUCUUAUUGCUGUGUCGCAGAGGCAUGCAGUGACAUCAGGGCUGCGUUUGUUUGUUAUAUUACGUUGAUUACAUCAUGUGGUUCAGGUUAAAUGUUAUAUCUGGGCUGGAGAAGCACGGCAGGAAUAAUCUGUGUGAAAUACAGCAGCAAUGAUUAUUGCUUCAGAAUCAGCUCAGGCUGAUGCUUUACAUUCCAGUUUACAUGGAUAUGCAUGUCAGUAUUGUUAUUAGUAUUACUGUAACAUUCAUAUGUCUUAUUUAAAAUCAGUUCUGGGUUGCUCUCUAAAAGAUGGUGAAGUAACAGCACUGGGUACAAACGCUAAACGUUUUCCAAUUCCAGCUCAGUAUUUGGAGUAUAAGCAAAUGACCCAUAAUAUUAAAGCUAAUUAAGAUCUCGUUAUUGUAAAACAUGCUCUGAAGCAUAAAACAACCUUAAUUGGAAUUUUACCAUUUAAUACCGUUUCUCCGGCAUCCUGCUGACAGAAUGAGAUGAUCAUCUCUCAAGGGCAAAAAUAUAUAUAUCUAGGAUGUUACAAAAUCUUCAUACUGUACAAAAUGUAUCUUUGUUGUAAACAGAAAUAAAUCUUCAUGUUAUUAGAACAUUACGUUUGGAGCUUCUCAUCUUUUUUUCUCCAACAAAAUCUGUUUUCCUCACAUGAGGGGUUUAUAUUAAAUUCAUAUGAUGUUUGAUAUGACCUUGGUAGCUUUUUGGUUUUACGUCAUUGUUCUGAGUCAUGUUUCUCUCUCUCUGCUCUCAGGUAGUGGAGAAGCAGGUGAUACUGACCUCAGCACAUCUCCUGUGGACCUGAUAAUGACCUCUCUAACCUGAGAACAUCACACAGCAUGCUAACAUGUCUCUUAACCGCUCUCAGUAUGUUCAUAACCACAGUUCUCAACAUAUAGUCGGGCACUCGUUUUCUUUCUGAGAUACAAAUGAGAGAACCUGAAUUAUUAGGCAUCAUCUCAGAAUAUAUAAAUACAAGUUCAUAUAUUCUGUGACGGAGAACAAUAUAAUCAGGUUUGGUGGUGUUGAUCUGAAUAGACUGGAUCUCUGUGUUCCCCCCUGGACCUCAUUAUGGAAAUCAAGGUGGAGUUGAUAUGGGGGAGGGACGCUUGGAAAAAAAAGAGUGAAAUAAACAGCUAUUUAUAUCUUAGCCACGUGAUUAACGGAUUAACUGAACAGGCUCCACCCAAACUUGCAUUAGGAGCCUUGUUUGAUAUAAUAAUAGGGGAGACUGGCACUAGUUGUCUCAUCUUCAGUGAAUAUUUCUCAAGGUUGUUUUAUUUUUACAAGGCAAUUUCUCUGCAGACACAUACCUUACGGGUCUUGGUUACAAAAAAGCUGUUUUCACAGGAAAAAUGAUUCGGUACACUGAAAAUGUUGACCAGUUGUCACAGUGGAAAUUAAAAAGCCUAUUUUAGGCCCUUGACAACAAGUCCCAGUCUCUCCUAUUGAAAAAUGAAAAUGUUAGACAUUAUGUUCUCACCAGGUCUGUUAUAAUGCCACAUCUUUAGUAUUUAAUAUGUGAAAACAUCCAGGAAAGGGAAACCAUCACCCCUCUUCGUUCCUGAGAUUCUUUGUGUUUAGAUGUUUGCUGUAAUGCAGAAAGUUCCUCGUAACUGUAUGUUGUUGUACUGUGGUGUUGUGAAAAAUCAUGUGUAUUGAUUACAUCCAUCAAUUCAUUUUGUAAAACAAAGCUACAAUGCACUAGAGAUCUGAAUAAUUACAGUGCGCCCAUGGUAAUAUGUUUGUGUGCUUUCUGGAAGACCCAAUCGUUGAUAAAGAAACAACAUACAUGCUUUCAUUUCACUAGUUCUUCCAUUGUUGUUUUAUAAAACUUGGUCUCUGCAAUCCAACAAGUUAUUAAUGAACUUGUUUGAAGAUGCCUGUUGUAGACCAAAGGAGGUUAAGGUCCUUUCACAUGACUUGCAUCAACAUCUGCCAAUGCAUUGAACAUCAUGCUACAGCAUUACCUCUGACGCACAUUGUCUGCAGGCCACACGCUGUAACACAAUGCUUAAAAUUAUAACCGUUUCCCCCAAUUUCGAAGAACUAUUCAUAGACGAUGUAAAGGCGAGGAGAUGGACCAUUUGUAGAAAAUGAAUGGGAGAAAUCAUAACACUUGAUAUGGUGACUGACGAAAAUCCUGCUUUUCAGUUGUUUACUUGCACUUUGGACCAGCCUCAAAACAUUUUGUAUUAAUUGACCCUUUCGCAAAAACUCGCCCUCCUUAGCUACUGUUGCUAUGUCUGACAAGCCAUGCAGUGAAAAAUACAUUGUGGAAAACUGACAACACGCCGACAGACAAGAAAGAGCAGGUUAAUUCUGGUAUAAAACAAGGUCUCAGCUUUUCAAAUUUUAUAAUUUUUUUAAGAAAUUCAAAAAAUAAAUUAGCCUGACUACGUCAGACUUCGUACUUCCGCUCAAUUUCAGUUCGCUUCUGUACUCUGUCUACGAAGCAAAGCGAAGUAGCAGAGUUUGGUAUUACCAGGCUAACAAUAAAUACUAUUUUGUGGCUAUUUAAUGUGUUGUGACUGCUCGCUGUAGUGCCUCAGUUCAAGCGGCACGUGAACCGAUCAUCAUUUCAUAUUUACUUAAAGCACAAAAUAAACAUCAGAACGUAUUUUAUUUCAGCCGCGGAAAUGUCAAUACACACAAUUUUUCAAGUUUAAGUCCACCGAAGUUAAUGAUUUGUUUGUCAGACAAGAUGGCGGAUAUGACGGUAUGAUUGGUCAGAUCGCCUGUCAAUCAAUCUCUUUGCAAAGGGUGAAUUUGAGCAAUAAAAAAUUAAAAUAAAUGAAAAAAAUAUAGGGAUGCGCCAAUUUUAAUAUUCUGAUGGAUAUUGAUAGGCCGAUAUUAAUAUUUAUGUUAUGACUGAUAACAGAUGACUAAUAUUUAAAUGCUAUACUAUUUUUCUAAAUUAAUUUAAAAUUAAACAAUAAAAGCUAAAAUCAAUCAUUUUAAAUGU